rnacentral:rRNA from 1 species
GACGAACGCUGGCGGCGUGCCUAAUACAUGCAAGUUGAGCGCUGAAGGUUGGUACUUGUACCAACUGGAUGAGCAGCGAACGGGUGAGUAACGCGUGGGGAAUCUGCCUUUGAGCGGGGGACAACAUUUGGAAACGAAUGCUAAUACCGCAUAAAAACUUUAAACAAAAGUUUUAAGUUUGAAAGAUGCAAUUGCAUCACUCAAAGAUGAUCCCGCGUUGUAUUAGCUAGUUGGUGAGGUAAAGGCUCACCAAGGCGAUGAUACAUAGCCGACCUGGGAGGGUGAUCGGCCACAUUGGGACUGGGACACGGCCCAAACUCCUACGGGAGGCAGCAGUAGGGAAUCUUCGGCAAUGGACGAAAGUCUGACCGAGCAACGCCGCGUGAGUGAAGAAGGUUUUCGGAUCGUAAAACUCUGUUGGUAGAGAAGAACGUUGGUGAGAGUGGAAAGCUCAUCAAGUGACGGUAACUACCCAGAAAGGGACGGCUAACUACGUG